UACGUAGGUGGCAAGCGUUGUCCGGAUUUAUUGGGCGUAAAGGGAGCGCAGGUGGUUUCUUAAGUCUGAUGUGAAAGCCCACGGCUUAACCGUGGAGGGUCAUUGGAAACUGGGGAACUUGAGUGCAGAAGAGGAAAGUGGAAAUUCCAAGUGUAGCGGUGGAAUGCGUAGAUAUUUGGAGGAACACCAGUGGCGAAGGCGACUUUCUGGUCUGUAACUGACACUGAGGCUCGAAAGCGUGGGGAGCGAACAGGAUUAGAUACCCUGGUAGCCCUGA
rnacentral:rRNA from 1 species